rnacentral:misc_RNA from 1 species
GAUGAAGAACGCAGCGAAAUGCGAUACGUAAUGUGAAUUGCGGAAUUCAGUGAAUCAUCGAGUCUUUGAACGCACAUUGCGCCCCCUGGUAUUCCGGGGGGCAUGCCUGUCCGAGCGUCAUUGCUGCCCUCAAGCACGGCUUGUGUGUUGGGCCUCCGUCCUCCUCCCGGGGGACGGGCCCGAAAGGCAGCGGCGGCACCGCGUCCGGUCCUCGAGCGUAUGGGGCUUCGUCACCCGCUCUUGUAGGCCCGGCCGGCGCUUGCCGACACAUCAAUCUUUUUUCCAGGUUGACCUCGGAUCAGGUAGGGAUACCCGCUGAACUUAAGCAUAUCAAUAAGCGGAGGA